rnacentral:rRNA from 1 species
AAGCGGAUCUCUUAAAGACUGUUCUCAGUUCGGACUGCAGUCUGCAACUCGACUGCACGAAGCUGGAAUCGCUAGUAAUCGCGGAUCAGCACGCCGCGGUGAAUACGUUCCCGGGCCUGUACACACCGCCCGUCACACCAUGGAAGUCUGCAAUGCCCGAAGCCGGUGGCCUAACCACUUAUGUGGAAGGAGCCGUCUAAGGCAGGGCAGAUGACUGGGGUGAAGUCGUAACAAGGUAAC